rnacentral:rRNA from 1 species
UACAGAGGGGGCAAGCGUUGUUCGGAAGUUACUGGGCGUAAAGGGCGCGUAGGCGGCCUUCUAAGUCGAACGUGAAAUCCCCGGGCUCAACCCGGGAACUGCGUCCGAUACUGGAAGGCUUGAAUCCGGGGAGAGGGAUGCGGAAUUCCAGGUGUAGCGGUGAAAUGCGUAGAUAUCUGGAGGAACACCGGUGGCGAAGGCGGCAUCCUGGACCGGUAUUGACGCUGAGGCGCGAAAGCCAGGGGAGCAAACGGG